GGCGCUGUGGCUUAGUUGGUCAAAGCGCCUGUCUCGUAAACAGGAGAUCCUGGGUACAAAUCCCAGCAGUGCUU
rnacentral:tRNA from 1 species